ACAGGAGUUGUGUCAUGGCAGUGAAUCGCACUGCUUCUUUACAGUCAUGCAGCAGAGAUUAGCUGAAGCUCUAAGAGGGGCAGCAGGCAGAUACCACAAUGCAAUUGCUGCUUUUUUUUUUUUUUUUUUCUCCCUGAAAAUGACAGUUUGGUAUGAAUCAGAAUUAAUGCAGCAAAAGAUAACAGAGUUCUGCAAAAUUCGGAGAGGAAAAUGAUAUCCCAAAUUGCAGCUGUUUCACAUGAUUGGACAUAAAAAUAAACAGCUCCCUGGAAAGGACUCGAGUGACAGACUUGGUGGUAGGAAUUAAGGACAGACUGCCAUUUUAAACUAAGUUAUGCCGAAGAUCUAACACCAUAGUCCACAAUAUGAAGCUUCUGAAAUGUGGAGGAUGUGACAGCAGAAGAUCUCUGAUCCAUCACCGAAUUAUUUGCUAAACUUCAACUUCAAUCAACAGAAGCAAGCAAAAUUCAUAAGAAGUUCCUUUGUAGGAAAGCCCAAACUCACCAAUAGCAAAUGAAAGUCUUCUGAGGAAAAAGUCCUGAAGAAAACGGUACUACAGCUAAAUUACAUGCUGGAUGAGCUUUGGCACUGAAUCUCACAAAGUUUAUGAAAUUACUGCACGCAGCUUCAUAAGGAGUCGUGAAAAGUGAAGAAGGACCUGAGGUGUACGUGUUUGAAAGCUUUGCAUGUUGGUCCCUGCAGCCCAUCAGUCGCUCCGUGCUGCACACAGAGGUGAGUGCGCUGCGAUCCGUGUUGUAGGGAGUUCUCACUGGGUGAGAAGCUGUCACUGCAGGUGAGCGUCUGGCCUGAGAAACGGCCAUUGAGAGCUGACUGUAGGGUGGGUUUUGUAGUACAGCCAUUGCUUGUUUUGGAGAACGCUGCAGUUGGUGUUGCAAACAAAAACACGUCUGAAGUUUCUUGUAGCUGAGGGCAAAAUUUUUUCUUAAUAACAUUUCCAGCUUUCCAUGUUCCUUCCUCAAGGUGUUCCUUUAUGGCCAGGCUGCUGUUUGCUGUAUUUAGCAGUAAAAGUGGAUUUGGGGAGGGAAAAAAAUUACAUUUUAAAGUAAAAUGUGGUGAAAUUUAUUUACUUGUAGAAAUGUUUGUGUAGCUAUGGAUCAACAGGCGAGGGAGAUGGUAACAUCUCAGGGUGCAUUUGUGUGUGUGAGAAGGAAUGCAAGAGGAAAAAAGACGGUGCUUAAUAAUAUGUAUGUAUACAUAGAAAUCCAAGGAACAAAGACGUUCAGGUUGAAACCAAUGCAUACAUUAUUGCUUAUACUUAUAUCAUACUUGCACAAGACCGUAAGAAAAAUAACAAGCGACGACUGGAGAAGCACAGGUGGAUGUGGAUGUGCCUGUCUGUGCUCAGGACUGAUGGCAAAAUGUCACAAAUUGACUUUACUGCUGAAAAACAAUCCUUGCAUUCUUCACGCUGAGUACUUUCAUUGCCCUUUGUUGAAAGCAUUUUUUUUUCUGCAUAUCAAACUAUUUUAGCCAUCUCAGUCAUUAAUAAGUGCCUAUGAAAUGAGGGCAGUAUUUCUCCUGGUAACACCUUGAACCCCAACAGGCAGGUGCCACCGAGGGGCGUUUCCGUGAGAGCUGCAUUCAGACUUCAGGUGUUCUUGUAUUUCCUCUCUGCUGGGUAGGCAAUGCUAUAGGCUCGGCACCAUGAGCUCAGACUUCCAUUCGGUUUGGCACGUUAUACCUCUUUUUGCUUCCUCUGUUUUUCAGGCCCACCUUUAGAGGAAGCAGAUCUUUCAGAGAAGGAGCAGUUAGCAUUUGUUUGUCAGUGCAUGAAUCAUGUUUUCUAAUUCUUUGCUGGUUACCCAUUCAUUUCCAAGGGUGUAAGUGCUCUGAGCUUGGACUGCCUUGCAGUUCUUCCAGCAAAUGCACAACCAGCCACCACGCUGCACCUUGUGCACAUGGAGCUGAGCUCUGGGCACGCUGUUGGAUGUUUGAGGGUAUCACACGUGAGAUGCAUCUCCCAGAGGCUGUGUGUUUUCAUUUCCUCCCUUGUGAGGUCCCCAGAUAAAAAGAGCAUGGGCUGGAAAUGGAAUGCCUAUCUCCCAACUUCAGUUUCUGUUAAUUACAUGGAGAAAAUACUUUACUUAGUCAAUAUUUGCAAAAUAAGCAUACAUAUUAAAAAAAUCAGUUUUCUAUGGGUUAAAAUAUUCCUGGGCAAAGAAAGACACCAGCAACAAGAACAUCCACCCCAUGUGUGAUGUCUCAACACACUGUUUGACUAGAGGUGAUGAAUAAGAACGUAUAAACCCACAUUGACUGCAGAAAUAUUCAUAUUUGGCCACAACUAAACUUGCCAUAGCAGAUGAGAGUUCCUCAGGGAGCUUGAGGGGCUGAUAGGUAUUAGAAGGUCAGGUUUCUUUUGGAUCUGGACAUCCUAAUUUAAUUCUGGCUAAUGCCUGCUGUAUGAAUAAUUCAUUAGCAUUUCUCAGUUUGGAACUAAACUUCUCAGAGAAUUCAGUAAGUGUGAAUGUUGCUGCAGUAAACAUAUGCCGAUUAUUUUUUUAGGAGCUAGAAAAUGAGGUUGCUCCCAAAAAAGUGGGUAAAAUAAUUAAAAUGUAAAUUGAAAUAAAUUAUUCACAGUACUAAAUUUAAAUAAAUGACUUGAACACCUAAACUCAAUUAAGGCAUGUUGUUAGUUAGAAUACUCAGUAUUGUAAAGCAGAUGUACAAAGCCAAGAACUGGCACCAAAAAAGUGUUCAAUGUGCAUGAAUGUUUUAUAGGUAACGGAGCAUAUACCCCAAGGGCCUUAAAUAUUACAUUAAAUUAUACAUUUCUAAUAAAGAAAAUAUAAAUGAAUAUGGAACAAAUGUUGACUUUCAGAUUAAAACACCAAAUAUUUCUUUGAGGAGCGAGCUUUACCAUUGCAUAACAGUUACAAUAUUAUCUUGUUUAAUGGCUUAAACACUGUUGUCGGCUAAAUAGCUGUGUGUGUAUGUACAAAAAGGCAUAAGUGCCAUUGGCAACUGUUGUGUAGCGUUAUGGAAACCAUUCUAAAAUAAGACCACAUUUACUGUCACUUCAAACUCUUAAAAUUUUAAUAGCAAUAACAUAUUCGGCAGAAGAAACUUAGUAAUUGCUAUAACCCCUUCCAUCCUUCCGUCCUUCUUUCCAUCCUUCCUUCCCUUUUCCCUUCCCUUUUCCCUUCCCUUUUCCCUUCCCUUUUCCCUUCCCUUUUCC
ensembl:lncRNA